rnacentral:rRNA from 1 species
CAUCGCGCUGAAGCCGGGCACGGACGGCGCGCUCGCGCUUGGCAUCAUGCACGUGCUGAUCAGCGAGGAUCUGCUCGAUCGAGACUACAUUCGCGACCAUACGCUUGGCUUCGACGCGCUGAAAGCGCGCGCGCUGACCUAUACGCCCGAGCGCGUGGCCGAGAUUUGCGGAGUGACGGCCGACGAAGUCGCCGAACUGGCUCGCCUCUACGGGCGCACGCGUAAAGCCUCGAUCCGUCUCAAUUACGGCAUGCAGCGCGUGCGCGGCGGCGGUAAUGCCGUUCGAGCGAUUGCCUGUUUGCCAGCGCUCACGGGCGCCUGGCGCGACCGUGCCGGCGGUUUGCUCCUGUCGUCGUCCGAGUGGGCGCCCGUCGAUGCCGCGGCGAUCGGCCGUCCCGACUUGCUGCCGGGUUGGCCGAACAAGCUGCCACGUUCAAUUAAUAUGAACGCAAUUGGCGAUGCGUUGCUGCAUUCGGGUGAUGCUGAAUUCGGGCCGAGGAUCGAGGCGAUUAUCGUGUACAACUCGAAUCCCGUCGCGGUUGCUCCCGAUUCGGAGAAGGUUGCGGCCGGCUUUGCGCGAGAGGACCUGUUCACGGUCGUUCUCGAGCAUUUCAAGACGGACACCGCCGAUUAUGCCGACAUUCUGCUGCCCGCGACGACGCAGCUCGAACAUCUCGACGUUCACAAAUCGUAUGGGCAUACCUACGUGAUGGCGAACCUGCCGUCGAUCGCGCCGAUCGGCGNCCGAAUAGGGCGUUCAGUUGCUGGGCGUAGACCCGAAACCAGGUGAUCUAUCCAUGGCCAGGAUGAAGGUGCGGUAACACGUACUGGAGGUCCGAACCCACUAACGUUGAAAAGUUAGGGGAUGAGCUGUGGAUAGGGGUGAAAGGCUAAACAAACCUGGAAAUAGCUGGUUCUCUCCGAAAACUAUUUAGGUAGUGCCUCGUGUCUCACCUUCGGGGGUAGAGCACUGUCAUGGUUGGGGGGUCUAUUGCAGAUUACCCCGCCAUAGCAAACUCCGAAUACCGAAGAGUGCAAUCACGGGAGACAGACAUCGGGUGCUAACGUCCGGUGUCAAGAGGGAAACAACCCAGACCGCCAGCUAAGGUCCCCAAAUAUGGCUAAGUGGGAAACGAAGUGGGAAGGCUAAAACAGUCAGGAGGUUGGCUUAGAAGCAGCCACCCUUUAAAGAAAGCGUAAUAGCUCACUGAUCGAGUCGUCCUGCGCGGAAGAUGUAACGGGGCUAAGCCAUAUACCGAAGCUGCGGAUGCGAGCUAGUCUCGCAUGGUAGGAGAGCGUUCCGUAAGCCUGCGAAGGUGCGUUGAAAAGCGUGCUGGAGGUAUCGGAAGUGCGAAUGCUGACAUGAGUAGCGAUAAAGGGGGUGAAAGGCCCCCUCGCCGUAAGCCCAAGGUUUCCUACGCAACGUUCAUCGGCGUAGGGUGAGUCGGCCCCUAAGGCGAGGCAGAAAUGCGUAGCUGAUGGGAAGCAGGUCAAUAUUCCUGCACCGUCGUUAGAUGCGAUGGGGGGACGGAUCGCGGAAGGUUGUCCGGGUGUUGGAAGUCCCGGUCGCUGCAUUGGAGAAGGCGCUUAGGCAAAUCCGGGCGCAGGAUUCAAGGGUGUGGCGCGAGCUCCUUCGGGAGCGAAGCAAUUGGAAGUGGUUCCAAGAAAAGCCUCUAAGCUUCAGUCUAACGAUGACCGUACCGCAAACCGACACAGGUGGGCGAGAUGAGUAUUCUAAGGCGCUUGAGAGAACUCGGGAGAAGGAACUCGGCAAAUUGGUACCGUAACUUCGGGAUAAGGUACGCCCUGGUAGCUUGACUGGCCUGCGCCAGAAGGGUGAAGGGGUUGCAAUAAACUGGUGGCUGCGACUGUUUAAUAAAAACACAGCACUCUGCAAACACGAAAGUGGACGUAUAGGGUGUGACGCCUGCCCGGUGCCGGAAGAUUAAAUGAUGGGGUGCAAGCUCUUGAUUGAAGUCCCGGUAAACGGCGGCCGUAACUAUAACGGUCCUAAGGUAGCGAAAUUCCUUGUCGGGUAAGUUCCGACCUGCACGAAUGGCGUAACGAUGGCCACACUGUCUCCUCCCGAGACUCAGCGAAGUUGAAGUGUUUGUGAUGAUGCAAUCUACCCGCGGCUAGACGGAAAGACCCCAUGAACCUUUACUGUAGCUUUGCAUUGGACUUUGAACCGAUCUGUGUAGGAUAGGUGGGAGGCUAUGAAACCGGAACGCUAGUUUCGGUGGAGCCGUCCUUGAAAUACCACCCUGGUUUGUUUGAGGUUCUAACCUUGGCCCGUGAUCCGGGUCGGGGACAGUGCAUGGUAGGCAGUUUGACUGGGGCGGUCUCCUCCCAAAGCGUAACGGAGGAGUACGAAGGUACGCUAGGUACGGUCGGAAAUCGUGCUGAUAGUGCAAUGGCAUAAGCGUGCUUAACUGCGAGACCGACAAGUCGAGCAGGUGCGAAAGCAGGUCAUAGUGAUCCGGUGGUUCUGUAUGGAAGGGCCAUCGCUCAACGGAUAAAAGGUACUCUGGGGAUAACAGGCUGAUACCGCCCAAGAGUUCAUAUCGACGGCGGUGUUUGGCACCUCGAUGUCGGCUCAUCUCAUCCUGGGGCUGUAGCCGGUCCCAAGGGUAUGGCUGUUCGCCAUUUAAAGAGGUACGUGAGCUGGGUUUAAAACGUCGUGAGACAGUUUGGUCCCUAUCUGCCGUGGGCGUUGGAAGUUUGAAGGGGGCUGCUCCUAGUACGAGAGGACCGGAGUGGACGAACCUCUGGUGUACCGGUUGUGACGCCAGUCGCAUCGCCGGGUAGCUAUGUUCGGAAGAGAUAACCGCUGAAAGCAUCUAAGCGGGAAACUCGCCUUAAGAUGAGACUUCCCCGGGGACUUGAUCCCCUUGAAGGGUCGUUCGAGACCAGGACGUUGAUAGGUCGGGUGUGUAAGCGCAGUAAUGCGUUCAGCUAACCGAUACUAAUUGCCCGUACGGCUUGAUCCU